CAGUCGCCGCGGGAAUACGUAGGGUGCAAGCGUUAAUCGGAAUUACUGGGCGUAAAGCGUGCGCAGGCGGUUCGUUAAGACAGAUGUGAAAUCCCCGGGCUUAACCUGGGAACUGCAUUUGUGACUGGCGAGCUAGAGUAUGGCAGAGGGGGGUAGAAUUCCACGUGUAGCAGUGAAAUGCGUAGAGAUGUGGAGGAAUACCGAUGGCGAAGGCAGCCCCCUGGGCCAAUACUGACGCUCAUGCACGAAAGCGUGGGGAGCAAACAGGAUUAGAUACCCCCGUAGUCCCUGUCUCUUAUAA
rnacentral:rRNA from 1 species